AAUAUUGGACAAUGGGCGAAAGCCUGAUCCAGCCAUGCCGCGUGUGUGAAGAAGGUCUUCGGAUUGUAAACUUCUAUCAGUAGGGACGAAAGAAAUGACGGUACCUAACUAAGAAGCCCCGGCUAACUACGUGCCAGCAGCCGCGGUAAUACGUAGGGGGCAAGCGUUAUCCGGAAUCCCUGGGUGUAAAGGGUGCGUAGGCGGCAAUGUAAGUCAGAUGUGAAAUCCCGGGGCUCAACCCCGGGCGUGCAUUUGAAACUGUAUAGCUAGAGUGCAGGAGAGGAAAGUGGAAUUCCUAGUGUAGCGGUGAAAUGCGUAGAUAUUAGGAGGAACACCAGUGGCGAAGGCGACUUUCUGGACUGUAACUGACGCUGAUGCACGAAAGCGUGGGUAGCGAACA
rnacentral:rRNA from 1 species